AGUUGUCGUUUUAAUGUUAUAUUUCACAUGGAUAUAAAAGAGGGAGGUUUGGCAUGCCACAAAAACCAGGUUCAACCCACCAUUUUUUCCUUUAAAAAUGUCCUGUACCAAGUCAGGAAUAUGGCCAUUGUUAUAUUAUAGUUCGUUUCUGUGUGUGUUACAUUUUAACGUUGCGUCGUUUGUUUUCUCUUAUUUUUGAGUGUAAAUUCACAUUGCGAUAAGACGUGUCAC
rnacentral:lncRNA from 1 species